rnacentral:misc_RNA from 1 species
GAUGAAGAACGCAGUGAAAUGCGAUAAGUAAUGUGAAUUGCAGAGUUCAGUGAAUCAUCGAAUCUUUGAACGCACAUUGCGCCCGUUAGUAUUCUGACGGGCAUGCCUGUCCGAGCGUCAUUUCAACCCUCAAGCACGGCUUGGUGUUGGCAGAUUGCGUGCCCUAGCGGCGCUGCACCCGCCCAAAUACAGUGGCGGUCCCGCCGCAGCUUCCAUUGCGUAGUAGCUAACACCUCGCAACUGGAGAGCGGCGCGGCCACGCCGUAAAACACCCAACUUCUGAAUGUUGACCUCGAAUCAGGUAGGAAUACCCGCUGAACUUAAGCAUAUCAAUAAGCGGAGGA